GACGAACGCUGGCGGCGUGCUUAACACAUGCAAGUUGAACGAAGAGCGAUGGAAGCUUGCUUCUAUCAAUCUUAGUGGCGAACGGGUGAGUAACGCGUAAUCAACCUGCCCUUCAGAGGGGGACAACAGUUGGAAACGACUGCUAAUACCGCAUACGAUCUGACCUCGGCAUCGAGGAUAGAUGAAAGGUGGCCUCUACAUGUAAGCUAUCACUGAAGGAGGGGAUUGCGUCUGAUUAGCUAGUUGGAGGGGUAACGGCCCACCAAGGCGAUGAUCAGUAGCCGGUCUGAGAGGAUGAACGGCCACAUUGGGACUGAGACACGGCCCAGACUCCUACGGGAGGCAGCAGUGGGGAAUCUUCCGCAAUGGACGAAAGUCUGACGGAGCAACGCCGCGUGAGUGAUGACGGCCUUCGGGUUGUAGAGCUCUGUUAAUCGGGACGAAAGGCCUUCUUGCGAAUAGUGAGAAGGAUUGACG
rnacentral:rRNA from 1 species